CCAAAAAAAAAAUGCCUCCCCUAAAAUAUUCAAGAAAAAAAGAGCACCUCAGCCCCAUCCCUUAUAUAUGUCGCAGCUGUGGAAUGGGAGGGAGGUUUCUUCUGAUUAGAAACCAAAGGGAAAGACCUGCAGCUGUCUGCUGAAAUCACAUCCUUGUUUUCACUUAGGCUAGAGCCUUUCCCCAUGAAAAAUCCUUAUCCUGAGAGUUAACCUCUUUCACAUGGUAAAUUACAAAACAAGAGCAUGUGCCAUCCUCCAGAGGGAGCUGGGGAGACAAGUUAGUAUUGGCUACUGUAACUAAUUCCAUUUAUUCCCAGAAAUACAUCAUGCUAAAUAUUAUUGCUUUUAGCAUUAAUAAGCUAAUUUAAAAAAGAAAGACAUUGUUUUUCAUUUUCUCAUGCUGUUCUCACAUUUAAUUUCUCUGAAGACAGUAAUACCACUUCAGAGAGAGGGAGCUAUGACUGUGGAACCAUCAGAUCUAUUUUUGUUCCAGCCCACAGCACAGAUUUACCUCCGGUCUGAGCCUUCCUGGUGUAUUUUCCUGCCUGGCAAACCCUUGUUUACGAACUGGAGAGCAAAGAAAACCCUGAAGGAUAAAAAUUGUGAAAAAUGGAGAGCCUGCUGCUGUUACCUCAAACCUCACCUCAGACAGCGUACAGGGCAGUAACUUCAAUGUCUGAAGAUUCUGUCCUCAACAUACUGGAAUCUCCAAGAGCUUCCAAUGGUGGCUGAGCUGACUCUGUGCCCGUCCCAAAGCAUAAAUGAAGGCGCUGUGGCUUCAGAUGAUAAACCAGAUUGUCACCGUCACGGUGACAAUUCCAGUUGGCCUUGGCCGGUUUGGAGCUAAGAGCUGGCACUGGCUGAGCCCGCUGUGGUGACUUGACGGGAGAUUUGCUGGCCAACACAGGGAAAAUGGAUUUGUAAAAUAAUUGAAGAGUGGGGCAGGCAGAGCAGUGGAAUGGGAGUUCUGUGACCGUCGGCUUAACAUAACUUUAUAUAUACGGAAUUUUAAUACAGACUGAACAAAAAGCAAAGGAGAGGUGUGAAGAAGAACUACCCGUACUUAGCUCUUCUUUGUUUAUAAUGUUUUCCUAAUCUUAGUUAUUAAAAUGAAGUUUUAAUUUCUUUAGAAGUUAUUCGCAAAGGAAAAACUGUGUCAGAAAUAUCAUUGAUGUCAAAUUUGAAUAUAUCUCAUAAACUUUAGACUUUGAAAAAAUCCCUUCUGGUUUCUGUUACCUGGGUUUUUCAUCUUUUUUGGUAUUGCAGUGUCAGCUCACUGUUCCAGCAGGUAUCGUGCAGAAUAUUCUGGAGAUCUAGGUUUCCACUGCUUGUGCUGGAAACGUUGGCCAAGUGUUGGCCAAGUGCAGGG
rnacentral:lncRNA from 1 species